CGAAGGUAGCAUAAUCAGUAGUCUUUUAAUUGAAGGCUGGUAUGAAUGGUUGGAUGAGAUAUUAACUGUUUCAUUUAAAAUUAUUAUAGAACUUUAUUUUUUAGUUAAAAAGCUAAAAUUUUAUUAAAAGACGAGAAGACCCUAUAAAUCUUUAUAUAUGAUUUAUAUUAAUUAUAUUGAUAUUUUUAAUUAUUAUAAAAUAAUAUAUUUUAUUGGGGUGAUAUUAAAAUUUAAAAAACUUUUAAUUUAUAUAAAACAUAAAUUAAUGAAUUGAUGAUCCAUUAAUAAUGAUUAAAAAUUUAAGUUACUUUAGGGAUAACAGCGUAAUUUUUUUGGAGAGUUCAUAUCGAUAAAAAAGAUUGCGACCUCGAUGUUGGAUUAA
rnacentral:rRNA from 1 species